rnacentral:rRNA from 1 species
GACGAACGCUGGCGGCGUGCUUAACACAUGCAAGUCGAACGAUGAGGCCGGAGCUUGCUCUGGUGAAUUAGUGGCGAACGGGUGAGUAACACGUGAGUAACCUGCCCUUGACUCUGGGAUAACUGCGGGGAACUGUAGCUAAUACCGGAUACGACCCUCGGAGGCAUCUCCUGGGGGUGGAAGGAAUUUCGGUCAAGGAUGGACUCGCGGCCUAUCAGCUAGUUGGUGAGGUAAAGGCUCACCAAGGCGACGACGGGUAGCCGGCCUGAGAGGGUGACCGGCCACACUGGGACUGAGACACGGCCCAGACUCCUACGGGAGGCAGCAGUGGGGAAUAUUGCACAAUGGGCGCAAGCCUGAUGCAGCAACGCCGCGUGAGGGAUGACGGCCUUCGGGUUGUAAACCUCUUUUAGCAGGGAAGAAGCGAAAGUGACGGUACCUGCAGAAAAAGCACCGGCUAACUACGUGCCAGCCGCCGCAGUAA